rnacentral:lncRNA from 1 species
UUAGUAUCAGAAUAAAAUAUACUAUUUAAAAUAUAAGAAAAACAAGCAUUUAAAAUAAAUUAAAAAAUUGUGUUAUUGAUAAUACGGUGAGCAAAGGAGUCAUGAUUCAAAUUGUCAUAUAUAUGAUUAAAGUCUUUAGAUAUGACUUUGGAUAAUAUAUGGUUACAUAUAAUCUAAUCACGGCAUCUAAACCUUCUAAAGCAACCACGACUGUAUGAGUUAGACUCUUCACGCGGAGACUUGGGGUUUUUCUGGCAACCAGGCGGAGGAGGAGAUCCAGGCGCUUUGCAGGGAUCAAGAACCCCUGGCUGAAUAAAUUUGGCUUCCACAUGGCUCACCACCACCGUCAUGCUUAUUAGCACCAACAACAUCAACCCUAACUUCAUUAUGAAUUCUGUGUAUUCCUUUUUCUCAACAGACCUCAACAAGGGAAACUAAUUUUCUCUGAGGACUUGGUUAAGAAGAAGAAACACAAAUU